UACCGAGUUUACAACUCCCAAACCCAUGUGAACAUACCUACUGUUGCUUCGGCGGGAUUGCCCCGGGCGCCUCGUGUGCCCCGGAUCAGGCGCCCGCCUAGGAAACUUAACUCUUGUUUUAUUUUGGAAUCUUCUGAGUAGUUUUUACAAAUAAAUAAAAACUUUCAACAACGGAUCUCUUGGUUCUGGCAUCGAUGAAGAACGCAGCGAAAUGCGAUAAGUAAUGUGAAUUGCAGAAUUCAGUGAAUCAUCGAAUCUUUGAACGCACAUUGCGCCCGCCAGUAUUCUGGCGGGCAUGCCUGUCUGAGCGUCAUUUCAACCCUCAUGCCCCUAGGGCGUGGUGUUGGGGAUCGGCCAAAGCCCGCGAGGGACGGCCGGCCCCUAAAUCUAGUGGCGGACCCGUCGUGGCCUCCUCUGCGAAGUAGUGAUAUUCCGCAUCGGAGAGCGACGAGCCCCUGCCGUUAAACCCCCAAC
rnacentral:rRNA from 1 species